rnacentral:lncRNA from 1 species
AAGACCGGUCCCUCCACCCUAGGAGGGUAAGGAAUCUCCUGCAGGUAGCUAAGGAGCUGAUGUCUCUAUGGCUGUGCAGGGCUCCAGGGAACGAAAUAAAAGAUAUGCUUUUCCUGCCCUGGGUUGGUGUAAGCCUUGCACCGCCUUCUCUGCUCUCCCUCCGGCCCCUGGAGUUCCACCGCCUGGCUGCCUACGCUGGCCCUUCCCUUCCUUCGAGAGGAGGCGUGCACCUCGAGGCUGUCCAGCCGGGCCUCCUGGGCCAGGUGCACACACACACGAACACACGCAUACAAAUGAGCACAGCAUGAUGCUGGAGUGAGCUAUUGUUUUUAUUGUCGUCGGCGACACGCAUCUCAGACUGCACCACUGUCGUUAUGACCGAGCCCCCUGAGCCGCGGAGAAAAGGAAGAGGGGGAAACCACUGUGAUGCCCGCCCGGCCCAGGGUGGGGAGGCAAGGUCCGCAGGUGUUGAUGAGGAAGCCUGAACGUCAACACUCUGCGCGGAGACUUCGGCUCUGCAGCCUUCCUUCCACGGUGGUGGGCAUCUUGCCAAUUUGCAGGACCAAGAAAGAAGCCCAGCUGCUCUCAGAGGACCCGAACUUCAAUUUUAAACCCACCUCCUCUCAUUGUGUCCGGCCUUCUGGGCUUACAGCAUUUCAAUAGGAGCGGGGUGGGGUGGGGUGGGGUAGCUCUCCAAUGGCUGACCGGACUCUUAAGAGAUGAUUUAAUUUUCUUAUCCUUGGGUUUCUCAAAAUGGGUUUCCCUGAAAUAAAGGUUCCCCCAUCUUUUCACAAUUA